rnacentral:tRNA from 1 species
GGCCCUUUAGCUCAGUGGUGAGAGCGUGCGACUCAUAAUCGCAAGGGCGCUGGUUCAAAUUCAGCAAGGGCCACCA